rnacentral:rRNA from 1 species
UACGUAGGGAGCAAGCGUUGUCCGGAAUCAUUGGGCGUAAAGCGCGCGUAGGUGGCCCCAUAAGUCCGCUGUGAAAGUCAAAGGCUCAACCUUUGAAAGCCGGUGGAUACUGUGGGACUAGAGUACGGAAGAGGCGAGUGGAAUCCUGGUGUAGCGGUGGAAUGCGCAGAUAUCAGGAGGAACACCAAUAGCGAAGGCAGCUCGCUGGGACGUUACUGACACUGAGACGCGAAGCGUGGGAGC